AGCUGCGGCAGCGACACUAUGUGUUGUUGGGUAGGGGAGCGUUCUGUAAGCCUGUGAAGGUGUGCUGUGAGGCAUGCUGGAGGUAUCAGAAGUGCGAAUGCUGACAUAAGUAACGAUAAAGCGGGUGAAAAGCCCGCUCGCCGGAAGACCAAGGGUUCCUGUCCAACGUUAAUCGGGGCAGGGUGAGUCGACCCCUAAGGCGAGGCCGAAAGGCGUAGUCGAUGGGAAACAGGUUAAUAUUCCUGUACUUGGUGUUACUGCGAAGGGGGGACGGAGAAGGCUAUGUUGGCCGGGCGACGGUUGUCCCGGUUUAAGCGUGUAGGCUGGUUUUCCAGGCAAAUCCGGAAAAUCAAGGCUGAGGCGUGAUGACGAGGCACUACGGUGCUGAAGCAACAAAUGCCCUGCUUCCAGGAAAAGCCUCUAAGCAUCAGGUAACAU
rnacentral:rRNA from 1 species